ACGGGGGGUGCAAGCGUUGUUCGGAAUUAUUGGGCGUAAAGAGCGUGUAGGCGGCUGAAUAAGUCAGAUGUGAAAUCCCUGGGCUUAACCCAGGAAGUGCAUUUGAAACUAUUCAGCUUGAGUAGGGGAGAGGAAAGUGGAAUUCCUGGUGUAUAGGUGAAAUUCGUAGAUAUCAGGAGGAUCACCGUUGGCGCAGGCGACUUUCUGGCCCUAUACUCACGCUCAGACGCGAGAGCGUGGGUAGCAAACAG
rnacentral:rRNA from 1 species